AGACCGUUCUCUUCAGAGGCCGGUCAUUGGAAUGGGUACAAUUUAAACCCUUUAACGAGUAUCUAUGAGAGGGCAAGUCUGGUGCCAGCAGCCGCGGUAAUUCCAGCUCUCAAAAUGCAUAGAAUCAUUGCUGCGGUUAAAAAGCUCGUAGUUGGAUCUGUGCUGGCGGGUCGGUCCACCUUCGGGUGCGCACUGAUUUCGCCGGCUUUCCUGCUGUAUUUGGCCCUGUGCCUUUCAACGGGUGCAGUGUCCAGUGCAGCAAGUUUACCUUGAACAAAUCAGAGUGCUUCAAACAGGCGUUACGCUUGAAUGUUCGUGCAUGGAAUAAUAGAAGAGGAUUUCGGUUCUAUUUUAUUGGUUUUAUAGACUGAGAUAAUGGUUAACAGAGACUAACGGGGGCAUUAGUAUUGCUACGUGAGAGGUGAAAUUCUUGGACUGUAGCAAGACUGACUACAGCGAAAGCAUUUGCCAAGAAAGUCUUCAUUAAUCAAGAACGAAAGUCAGAGGUUCGAAGGCGAUCAGAUACCGCCCUAGUUCUGACCGUAAACGAUGCCAACUAGUGAUCCGCCGGUGGAACAUUCGCCCUGGUGGGGAACUUCCCGGAAACGAAAGUCUUCCGGUUCCGGGGGAAGUAUGGUUGCAAAGCUGAAACUUAAAGGAAUUGACGGAAGGGCACCACCAGGAGUGGAGCCUGCGGCUUAAUUUGACCCAACACGGGAAAGCUCACCCGGCCCGGACACCGUAAGGAUUGACAGAUUGAUAGCUCUUUCAUGAUUCGGUGGAUGGUGGUGCAUGGCCGUUCUUAGUUCGUGGAGCGAUUUGUCUGGUUUAUUCCGAUAACGAGCGAGACUCUGGCCUACUAAAUAGUUUACACAUUGCUUCUGUGUGCAUAACUUCUUAGAGGGAUUUUCGGUGUUCAGCCGCAAGAAAUUGAGCAAUAACAGGUCUGUGAUGCCCUUAGAUGUCCGGGGCUGCACGCGCGCUACACUGGCAAAAUCAGCGUGCUUGUCCUUCCCCGAAAGGGGUUGGUAAACUCGUGAAAAUUUGCCGUGAUUGGGGUCGGAAAUUGCAAAUAUUUUCCGUGAACGAGGAAUUCCAAGUAAGUGCGAGUCAUCAACUCGCGUUGAUUACGUCCCUGCCCUUUGUACACACCGCCCGUCGCUGCCCGGGACUGAGCCGUUUCGAGAAACUUGGAGACCGCUGAUCUGGUAACUUCGAUUGCCAUUUUGGUGGGAACCAAUUUAA
rnacentral:rRNA from 1 species